rnacentral:lncRNA from 1 species
AAAUGAGUAACAAUUGUAAUUAUACGAAAGAAUAUAUAUUUUACAUAACAAUUACUUUCUUCAAUGCAUCCAAAAUUGUUUAUAUUUAAUCAAAAAAAUCACAGUCAUCAAAGAUUUAAACAGAGGAGUGUGUACAAAGGAGUUCAUCAAACGUAAAAUGAUAGUCCAUGAACCAUGUUUUGCUCCCUGGUCGUGGAUCUAUUAAAAAGAACGUCACAAGAUAAAUAAAAGAAAAAAACCAUUGUAAGAAAACACCUGCGGAUGCGUCUUCUGGGUUGUCACCUAUGCCAAUUUCAUUUGAUAUUCCGAUGACCGUAGAAUUUUCAACCUCAAAAAGGGGUGGAGGGUUUUAUGAUUUUGAAGAUGAUGGGAUAUCAAACUCCAUUGGUUCCCAUUUCACACAUCGCGAGGAUGUUGCAGCAAGAAUUUCUCUUCUUGCUCCAGACUUCCAAGCUAUCUCAAUUCUAUCUGGAUCUAGCCCUAUUUCAAGCUUCACAAUUGGUCUACCGGAUUCUAGUAUAUCAAAAUGAAAGCAGUAAAUAAAAUAUACAUACGAUAUUAUUAGUAAUUAUGCAAAAUAAUAUAUACUUAUCAUAAUAAUUACCUUAUUCGACGCAUCCCAAAUAUUUUAUGUUUAAUCAAAGAAAUCACACUCGCUGGAAUUUUUUUGCAGAGCAACAUGGAUAAAGAUUUGAUCAUGUCAUAUAUCAUGAUCCAUACACCAAGUUUUUCUACCUUGCUCGCAGAUCUAAAGAAGAAAUAUCAAAAUAUUUAACUGGAAAAAAAAAAAGGAAUCAACAAAAAAUAGUUGAGAAAAGGCGAAAAAAACAGUAAUUACCGAUUAUUUACUAUGUAUCUAGUAUCUAUUGAUUAAAGUAAGAUAAAACACAAUGAAUCCCGAUCUCUAUACUCGAUCCAAUCAAAUGCAAGAUGAGAGAGAGAGAGAGAGAGAGAGAGAGGGAGGGAGGGAGGGAGGGAGGUUGAUGUUAUUUUGUGAAAGCGGCUGCGGCCGCGGAUGGUACUUGCCAAGUGAUUCCCAACCCUAAUUUAUAAGCAAAUAAAAGGAGGAGGAUUUUUUUUAGGUCAAGCUUUCAUUAGGGAUGUAAUAUGGGUUGAUCCACACGUUUGGCCCAUCCCACUAUUAGCCCGUAAAGAAUGAGAUGGGGACAGGCCAGGUGGUGG